rnacentral:sRNA from 1 species
GCCAAGCAUGGUGGCACAUGCCUGUAAUCCCAGCAACUUAGGAGGCUGAGGCUGGAGGAUCAUGCCAGCUUCAGCAACUUAACGAGGCUCUAAGCAACUCGGUGAGACCCGGUCUCUA